UCUGGGUCUGAAUCAAGUACAGUUAGACUGGCUGUGUGACCAUGUAUGAGACCAGGACCAAAUUUUUCCUCAGUUUCAUUCUCAAAUAUCUUAGUUCUGAUCUCAUAUAGUGUUUAUCAAAUCAGUCACUUUAUAUAAUUUAGAUUAUAAUUCUAGUCUUAGAUUAUAUUUUAUUUAUAAAUUAUCAGUUCUGAUCUCAUUUGAUUCUAUUUUAUAAAAUGAGAUCAAUCAGAACCAUGAUUUACUUUAUAUAGAUUGACAGUGAUAGAUAGUGGCAGUGAUAGAUAGAUUAGCAGCAGUAGAUAAAUUAGC
rnacentral:sRNA from 1 species